rnacentral:rRNA from 1 species
UGGGGAAUCUUGGACAAUGGGCGCAAGCCUGAUCCAGCCAUGCCGCGUGAGUGAUGAAGGCCCUAGGGUUGUAAAGCUCUUUCACCGGUGAAGAUAAUGACGGUAACCGGAGAAGAAGCCCCGGCUAACUUCGUGCCAGCAGCCGCGGUAAUACGAAGGGGGCUAGCGUUGUUCGGAUUUACUGGGCGUAAAGCGCACGUAGGCGGACUAUUAAGUCAGGGGUGAAAUCCCGGGGCUCAACCCCGGAACUGCCUUUGAUACUGGUAGUCUUGAGGUCGAGAGAGGUGGGUGGAAUUCCGAGUGUAGAGGUGAAAUUCGUAGAUAUUCGGGGGAACACCAGUGGCGACGGCGGCGCACUGGCGCGAUACUGACGCUGAGGUGCGAAAGCGUGGGGAGCAAACAGG